GGAAGGGGGAAGAGAAGGUUGGUCUUCAGUUUUCAUAACCACAUUCAGGACAAUGGAUUAAUUUAUAAGAAUAUUUUUAUCAUUGUACUUUAGGGAGACUAUUAAAGCAAAUCUCCAGGGCAUUGGGCUCAGGUUUGGGAACUUGUCAGAAGAUAAACAUGAAUUGGAAAUUAGGGUCCUGAUCUUCCUUCUGUUGUAGUCUCCAAGUGACAGGUAAUUCUAAGACUGAAAACUACCCAUGGAUUGCCUUGUCUCAGACCAGGAUUCAAUCUGACAGACUUCUGUCCAAAGGUCUGGAUAUUUCAUGGUCAAACUGAUCCUAUAAGUAAAGGACCAAAUUCUCAAAGUUGUUUGGGGCGGAGGAAGACUUGGGGUUUACAGCCUAUACAAAAUCUCCCUCUCAUUCCUCAUCAUGGUGUGGCAGUGACCUAGGCCCUUGAAGGCUAAUUCAUGGAAUUAAAGCUCUGACAGGCUUUACCAAGCUAGGAAGGCUUUGCGAGUACAAGCCAGGCAGCCCUUAUGUGACUAACAUCUAAGCCCCAGAAGGGCUCAUCACGAAGUUGCCCAUAGGUUAUAUUUCCAGGACUGAUCAGAAUUGAUAGUUUUGAAAGCAACAUCACAAGAAAUCAGCCCCCAGAAAGUAGCCCUGAGGCCAUCUUUGCCAAUUUGGAAUUUUGCUUUGUAACAGACCAGUGUUCAGAAGUGGGACAAACUGAACUAGAAUCCUGCUUUUGGGAUCUCUCCCUGCAUUCACUUCUGGAGGAAACAAAUGAAACUGCUCCUUUGAAGACUAGCUUAGUAGCCAGAGGAAUGAGAGGAGACUGGCAGGCUCUAGUGGAGUGAAGUUUGGAUCUUCUUUCCUCAAAGUGACAGCCUACCUCAUCACUGCAAGAGGUGAAUUUCUUCUUUAUGGACAAGGAUAAUAUGAAAACUUCUAUGGCGAUUCUUGAGACAUAGGUGAUAUCAAUAUACCAGUCCCAUAAAACACCCAACACAUAAUGGAGAAGAGCUGUUAUCCUUCCCAAGCAGCCACAGCCUUUUAAAACCACAAUGCCACAUACAUUCCAGGAUCGAUUUUUUUUCUUGUUAUCGUUUCCUAAAACACAAUUAUGGGCCAAAAGCUUGAAGAACAUCAUUUUUGAGAAACCUGAUUUCUGUAAGAUUUAAUGGUAGAACACUUCUCUGAACCUAGAAGUAAUAAGAAACAAACUUCUAAGUUACUUCUAUCAUCACUGCUCUCCUCAUGAUUCUGUCCUGCUUAGCAAUCUUCAGAGACUCCCUAUUAUGUAUAAGAUAAAAUGCAAACUCCUCAUAUAGGCAGUAAAGGUCCUCUGCAAUAGGCUCUAGUCCAUCCCUUUUGCCUUAUGUCAAAUUAAUUGCUUUCAGGUAUUCUAUCUUCCAGCCAGGGGUAUGCUGGUAAAUGUUUAACAAUAGGCUAAGAGAAAGGCAGCUGGGUGGCUCAAUGGAUUGAGAGCCAGGUCUAGAGAUGGGAGGUCCUGGCAUAAAUCUGACUCUUCCUAACUGGGUGAU